CGCAUCCGUCCUGUUCCAUUGUUUCAUUGUGGAAGUUGUCCAUCUUGUCCUGAAAGUUGUUUGUUCCUAACGAAUCUUGAUUUUCGUUCCUUUCCGUUAUUUCUGUUAUUUUUGUCCCACCUCUAUUCGAGGUUGACCUGAUAUUCUUGGCUGAUUGCUUCACUAAAUCUUUUCUCAGAUUAGUGAGGUUAUUGUUUCUAGGGAUGCUAGAAACUUUGAUGAUUCUGCAACGUCUUUUCGACGUUCCAAACGCUGGUGCUUUUUUAGCCUUAAGAAAGACUAUUUCAUUAGUAUCAUUCACGGAUUUCUCCGAGACCUGAAUUUUUUCUAAGUCCGAAAUUUCCAAACUGCUCAGUCUACCGUCCGACCAGUUUGAUAUACUCCUAAACUUGUCAUCUCGGAGAGUGAAAGCUGGGCUCUGCAUGAGGUAGGUGGAGCCCUUCCUCGAGAUGCUCUUGAUACUCCAUUGUCGUUGGAGGUUGUGCUGUGUCCUAGGUGAGAGGUUCGUAUAUGUGAACCUCCUCUCAUAGGUUGCCUUUCUAGGCGUAUCUUUAAGUCCAUUCUGCCUCUGAUCUAGCACCCUGAAAGGCUAAGAGGGCUUCAGGUGUCGAAAUAAAGCACACAGUCGAGUUUAGGUAAGGUACAGCACAGAUUCUCCUUCUAUUUCGGCAUUUCGCCUGUGAAACGGCCAAAUGGCCGAAGUUGAGGCCGGAGCCCCAGCUCGUUAGAGCGCUCAAUACGACGAAGUGAUGUUAGGCGAAGUAAGAGAGAGAAUCAGAGAAAUUACUUCAAUUUAUAGAUUCGCGAAAUUAAAGUAAGACGUAGUUAAAAUUCAAAGAGCAACACCGACCAAUCAGGAAGGUUCCUGGCCGGUGGGCGGAGGCUAAAGAAAAUCAAACGCGAAGAUAUACGCGGUUUGAUAACACCCCCCCUGCUUUGAAGAAUCUGUGCUGCGGUGUGUUUAUUUAAUAAAAUACAUACAAAAAAAAUAGUCAAAUAGGUAAAAAGGUCAAGUCGAAAUACAUAAAAUAUAGAAUUAAAGUCGUGCGACAACUUUAGGGGAACAAUGGGUACAACCUUUAUUCAGAGUGUCCAGAGAUUCGAAAUGUUGUGCAUUUAUUAUAAAAAGGUAGCUUAUAAUCUAUAUUCCUACACCCUACACUGUGGUAUACUACUACUAAAUAACACUUACAGUGUGUUAUGAAAAAAAAUCAAAAUCAUAAACAGUUGAUACCAUACACUCAUAUAUUACGCUUAAAAUUAAAAUUCUAACAUUAGUUUCUGUUCAAAUUGCAGGUCAAGAAGAAACGUUUUCGCGGUUAGUUUAAAAUAAGGAAUACCGAGGUUGGAAGUCAAAAGAAAUAAAUCUUACAUUAGUUAAUAAUAAAGAAAAAAAUUAAUUAUAAAUCUUAUAUUAAUUAAUAAAAAAAAAUUAAUUUAUAUCCGCCCUAAAUUACUAAGUCGAUACGAAAUCUGUACCGUGGAGGUAGCCCGAUCAUCCUCCUAAGAGUACCACGGAGAGAGAUUCUGCAUUAUGUGGGUGUGUCCAGUCCUCGGCCGACGACAAACCUAUUGUGGACACGCCCUACUGGGGUAAAUUUUAGAGUAAAUAUACACAUGGAGAAGACGAUAUCGACCUGGAGUAUUCUUUAGGGAAGAUGUAUCCACCAGGUGGAUCGCAGAAAACAACAAAAAAGUGUGAUCCCCUAAAUAUAAGCUUAAAACACAAACUCAAAUCUUACGUUUAAAAAUAAUUGCAGUCUACGCGCUAACUUGAUAAGAAUAGUAAAAAGGGUCAGAAAUCUCAAUUUCAACAAAAAAUAGCAAAAAAAGAAAAUUUCAGCUUAUAAUCUAAUCUUCAUAGUAGUAAAAGGCAGACAGGAAUGAUAGUAACUAACAAUAAUAAAAUAUUAAUAAUUGUAGUAGUAAAAAAAGAUAAAAAAAAUUAAUUAGAACAAGCGACUUAGACAGAUUUUUGGCGAAAACCAACAAAACUUUUAAAACUUAGAAAACUUUUCGAAAGCCACAAGCGACUUGUAAAAUUUUUCAUUAAGACAAAAUUCAAUCGACUUAGAAAAAUUUACUAAAAAAAAAUUUUGUGAAAGCAAAUGACAUUUUACGGACUUAGAAAAAUCUUUCAGUAAAAUUAAAAAAAAAUCAAAUGUAAAAUUAUGGACUUGUAAAAUUUUUUCAAAAUAUCAAAUAAUUGACUUAGAAGAAUUUAGUGAAAAAAACUUUAAAAUUUAAAUUUCAUGACUUAGAAAAGUUUUCAGCAAAGUAACAAUGAAACUUAAUGCAAUUUUAAGAGCCAAAAAUCCAUCCAGACGUGUAUGUAUUUACAAUGGUUAGACGUACUUUAUGCAAAAAAAUACGUCUACCGUGACUAUGCGUCCGCAUAGUCGAGCAAACGGUGUAGGUUUUGGAAGACAGAACUUCUGCUAAACCACCAGCCUUCGUCGUCCGACGAAGGUUAUGUCCAAAGACACGAUUUCUUUGCGCCGCUGCGGAGUCUGUCCGUCUUAUGCUGGUCGCAAAAACAAUAGUCGAUUAAAAGACAAAUGUGUUGAAUCCUAAGGAGGCCGUACUCCAAAUUCAACACAGGUUUCCUCGGCGUCAGUUCGACCCGGGUGACUCCCUGACGGAGGUAAGAUCCCCUACGUCGAUUCUUACGAGAAUCUUUACUAUAGUAGGGAAGAGGCUCAUGUUCUGUGUCGGUUCGUGACGAAAACGAACUCUACAGACGGUAGAACAUGCGGCUAUAUUGCCUGUGCCUCUUGGUUCUGUCUGUUCGUUCUACCACUGUAGAACGACAGGAAAAAAAAACAAAGUCAAAUUUGGGUGUGGGUGUGCUAUUCCCACCAAACUCGCUGUGCAAACGGUUGUGCUGGACCCUAAAAGUUAGAAAAA
rnacentral:lncRNA from 1 species